rnacentral:rRNA from 1 species
GACGAACGCUGGCGGCGUGCCUAAUACAUGCAAGUAGGACGCAGUUGCGAACGGGUGAGUAACGCGUAGGUAACUACCUAUUAGAGGGGGAUAACUAUUGGAAACGAUAGCUAAUACCGCAUACUCGUAGAUGGACCUGCGUUGUAUUAGCUAGUAGGUAGGGUAAUGGCCUACCUAGGCAACGAUACAUAGCCGAACUGGGAGGGGGGUCGGCCAACCUGGGACCGGGAAAAGGCCCAGACUCCCUCGGGAGGCAGGAGUAGGGGAUCUUCGGCAAUGGGGGGAAACCUGACCGAGCAAAGCCGCGGGAGGGAAGAAGGGUUUCGGAUCGUAAAGCUCUGUUGUUAAGGAAGCGGUACUUAACCAGAAAGGGACGGCUAACUACGUGCCAGCAGCCGCGGUAAUUC